rnacentral:rRNA from 1 species
UACGGGGGGGGCGAGCGUUGUCCGGAAUCAUUGGGCGUAAAGGGCGCGCAGGCGGAAUGGUAAGUUGGAGGUGAAAAUUCUGAGCUUAACUCAGGACCUGCCUUUGAUACUGCUAUUCUUGAGUACGGUAGAGGAAAGUGGAAUUCCCGGUGUAGCGGUGAAAUGCGUAGAUAUCGGGAAGAACACCGGUAGCGAAGGCGGCUUUCUGGGCCGUAACUGACGCUGAGGCGCGAAAGCGUGGGGAGCAAACAGG